ensembl:lncRNA
CCCCCUCCAACCCUCCCAGAAAUGGCUGAAUCUCUCUCUUCCUCCUCAGUAGAAGGAUGAAAACUUUCCUGCCCACGCGAGGACUUGGGACUGAGAAUAGUACUCACGUCCAGCUAAUGAAGUGUUUCCAGAAACAUGCACAUCAGUAGCCCUCUUCCAGACUGCUCGCAUCAGCUGAAGGCUACCGCCUGGGACUCCUCGGAAGCGUGAGCAAGCCGCCACCACGCGAAGGCACUGGGGCACAGCCAGCGCAAGGCACCGAGGUCCCUUCCCAGGGCUUGUUAACACUGUAACCCGGCAGUCCGAGGGAAGCAGCUCCCACUGCCCAGAGCUACCUCACUGCUCAUCAGAUGACUCUGGCUUCUACACACAGUUGGAGUUCCGCUUGAAACCUGGAUUUAGAGGGGCUCUCUCGCUGCCAUGACACUCAAUCAAAGCACCUAGAGUGGGCUGGCCGAUACCAGAGGGGGUACCAAGCAGAGCAAGGACAGAGAAAAGCACUGGGAGAACACCAGAACUGGAAAUAGAGCAGCCAUUUGGAUUUGGGCAGGAAGCAGCCGUGCACAGCUUUGGAUCCUUCUUUAGGGAAAUCGAGUUAUGGAUUUAUGGUCCCGGUCAAGCUCAGCCCAGCCCCAGCCAGGGGCGGGCUCAGCAGCAAGAGUUCUGGUGGCGGCGGCGGCGGCAGUAGCGGCGGCAGCGGUAGCAGCGGCAGCAGCAGCUUGGUCCUCUGACUCUCUUCGGUGACGGGUAUUCUUGGGUGGAUAAUACGGAUUACGUUGUUAUUGCUUAAGAAUACGCGUAGUCGAGGAGAGUACCAGCGGCAGGCGGGCAGCGGCCGCCCCUCCCAGCCCACCAGCUGGCCUGUAAACGCCUGUGGUUGCCAAGGUAGCACUUUUUUGAUCUUUUCCUUUCCUCGGUGUUUUCGCUCCGGGUCGCGUGUUAGGUGAUUACAAGACACAUCCCACCAGAAAGGCAGUGCGCGCCGCGCCUCUGGUGACCCUGGCUGUAGAAUGGGUGCGUGUCGGAGGGCUGCAGUCGAGGCGGAGGGGAGGGGCGGGGAAAGGAUGGGGUUCUGUUCCAAGAAGCCUGCGGGGAGUUUCGGGGUCCCUGGCCUUCUAGUCUUCUCGUCUCCUUUCCCCCGUGGGCUCCGGCUGCAGGGAACGACAUGGACUGGGCGAAUCUCGAAAGUUGGGAGUGAUUGAAAGGCCUUGAGCAGUUUGGCAGCGCUGCGAGUGAGGAACUGGCGCUCAGCAGAGGGUCGCUGGGGGCUGCCUGCGCAGAAAGGGCGUGUCCGUGGGCGAAGGUGCCCCCGCAAGCAAGCUGCGGAAGCUUGUGACUUCGCGAAUCCCGGGCUGGGGCGGUGCCGGAGCCCCACCCCCAGCAGUACCACUCGGCUGCCAGACCUGGCUGCCGGGUGUGGAGCGGGCGUGAGGCCCGGGCCUGGGUCCCCCGGAACUUCCAGACUGGAAGUGUGGCGGGUCUCUCAGGGCCCUAUAUUUUCUUUUCGGAUUCUCCGCGAAGGGGUGGAGAAUCAGGAUGGGAACUGGAUUGGUUGCCGUGUGGCACAGAACUGGAACCUUCCUGAAAGUGGUGGGGCAGGCAGGGACUGUUCAGUCGUCCAGUUUCUUUGGGACAUCUCUUCAGCGCUGUCCUCCCUGCCUCUGCCGUUAGGACGAGUAUCAAACAUCAACAAACCCAAGGCACGUUCCCUCUCUCAGGUCUGCCGCGAUGGGACUAAAGGAAGAGCGAGCCUUUCCCUCCUUCUACGUCCAGUUGUUGUUUUGUUUGCUUGCUUCAAAUAUUAAUGGAAGAUAAAGCCCUACGGAUUUGUCUAAGAUAGAAAGGAUCCUGGCGAAGAGCAUUCCGCCACUCACCGACCCCCUCCAGCACACCGGGCAUCCUGAGGACCACCGGGUGUGUCAGGGAUUGAGAUGCCCAAGAUGAUUCUGGAAAAGAUGAUCCAGCGGAGAAGGUGCGGGCCAAGGAGGCUCCACUCUCAGCUCUUGUGAGCUUAAGACGCGGCUCUGCAACUCUCCUUUCCCUCCGGGGAGGCGCCAGGACCCGCCCAGUGGCGGCGCUUCAAAGGUAGAAGGAGAAAAUGCUGGGGACUAGAACUUACCAGGCACCCAGAAGGUUCCACGAGGCUCACCAAAAACCUCCUGGGACCCUAAGACCAAGUUUCCUCCCUGCAUGGUGGCUGUUGAUUGUGCACGGGCUGCGAAGACUACAUUCCUGAGAAGUCCAAGCUGCGGGGGUAGGGGGAUGGGGGGAGUAAGAAGCCUACAAAGCGUCUACCUCGCAGCGCUUCCAAACCGGCUUUAAGCCGAGCGACGCCCCAGACACCUUUUCCCUUUAGAGGAUGGGCCUUUCCUGGGCGCGACUACGGUGCAUGUACCCCGUUGACUUCUUGCCCAGGAGAGCAGCUCUGAGCCCUAGAGACGUUAAGAGCAAAGUGCCCCGUAGGAGGCAGGCACAUCCUCACACUUCCAGUGUAGAAUCUCGCCUUUCUUCCAGUACUUUGGAUUCCUAGUGAUGGGUACACUGUGCCACUCCUAUACCUGCCCCUAUUCCUACCACGCCGCAUCUGAUCCCACAGUUACUUUCAGGGUAUCAGUACUCACGGCUUUUGAGCUCAGGGAAGGUGGUUUGCAAGGCAAGUGAGUGGGGGCCCUUCUCAGAAGCUCCCAGGGCUGACAAACCCGUUUUAAGAAUGAGUCUAAGUAGAAAAGGAAACACAGAUGCUGUCUUUGCACUCGGAAUUCUAUCACUAGCAAAAGAAUUUUGAACCACUGUUCUUUCCUUCAUUGUUUCCCUUUCUCUAGGUAGUCACUAUUUGGUGUUUAAGGGCCUUUAAAGAUUGCCUUUAUUAAUGUAUUUAACAAAAUUCAAUAUGUCUGCUGGUUCCCUGGUUUCAUCUGGAAAUUGGCAAAGUAGGGAGAAGCUACAUAAUCUAGUAAUUUGGUGAGCUUUGAAAAGUUGGACUCAUGCUGUUUGGCUAAAUAAGUGUAUGAGAUUUUAAAGGCAGAAAAGCAACUGAGAACCCAGUGAGAGUUUGCAAGAAAUGAAGGAUGUAAUACCCUGGCAUUUGUUGAGAGAAUGAGGAAAACUUCUGAAAAAUAAGCUAUUUCAUUUAGUUCUUUACCACUGGUACUUUAGUUUAUCAUUAUGACCGCUUCAUAAGUGAAUAAUAAUUUUUACAGUGGAAUAACUUUAAAUGCUAGUGUUGAAAUCUAGAGGAAACCUCUACUCAUCUCAUGGCCAGCAGAAGUAGUUGGCGUUCUUGGUUCGAGUGACUUACAUACUUAUCUCAUUGCUUUCUUUCCUUUGCAGAAUUAUCUCUUAUAAAAGUUUCCAUUAGGUGUCAGUCUGACUGAGCUGGCUCCUAUUUAAAUUUAGAAAACAAACAAAAAAAAUUAUGGGUUUUAUCAUACUUUAUCUUUUUAGAUAAGGAGGAAAAUUCCCAAAUUAUUAAAUUGAAAUUACUGUAGUUAAUUGUUACUGUUAUAAGGCAGCUUUUUUUCCCCCUCAGAAAACAGAAUUUUAAAUUACAUCAGAACUAGCUUUUGCCUAGUUCAAAAGUUCUCACUUUUGCCAUGUUGGUAUCAUCCAUACAGACAAGAUUAAAGAAGUAGGAAGUGAUAGUGUAUUUUUUUCAUGCUAGGUACAAAUGAUUGUAAGUAAUAAUAAUAUUUGGAUUGUUUUUCAAUUGAUGUCCAAAUAUUAGAAGCGUAUGCAUCCUUUUUCUAAAAUUUGGUUUGCUUUACAAAAGUGACAGAAUUUUUUUCCUGAGAAAAGCAUAUGGAUAUUUGACAGUAAUACUUGAGGCACAAUGGAAGAGAAAGGAGAAAACUUGUGAAAAUUGCCUUUGUCUGCUAUUUUUACCUUAGUUAAUUCUGCCUAAGUAUUCAAAAUUUUAUGAACACAAUUUAUGGCUUUUAUUAGAAAAUUUUUGUUUUCUCAUUGAAAUUUAUAUGUCUGCGAACACUCAAAUUUAUAUUAUAAUGUGAUAUUCAUUAAUAGGUGUAAGAAAUAUCAUCUUGGUUGAUGGUUUACUACUGAGUCUCAGGUAAGGAGAUUGACAGAAACUGAAUUUUACAAAGACUUUUCUGAUUUUAUUUUUUGUUUAUGAAUCACAUUCUGAUAUUUUUGCUCAACUAGAACUGUAGGGAAUGGCAGUUUUCACGGUUAAACAUCCAUUGAGUAUCAUGAAAACCUCUGUAUAAAUACAAAAAAAUAUUACUGUAUAGAUGAUUCUGACCGAGUACAUUUUUAAAUUAAUAAUCAUGUCCUGGAGCCAUUAUCUCUCUCCACAUCCACUGUUAGCCCUAGAAUGACGUGGUUCUUGGUGUCCCAGCAGUGCCAGUCUAGAACUAGAAUUGUCAAUGAAUGUCCAGGCAAUGGAGUAGCAUUUUGAUGGGUAGAAAAUUCCAUAAGUCAUAUUAUCAUUUUUUAUUAGAUUCCACAUCAGUACUGGUAAAUUUUCAAGUAUAGAAAUAGACAAUUUUUUGUCAGGGUGCAGAUGACAGGCAUAUUUGGGAGUAUUUUGUGCUUUUAUGUAGGACAGAGAAGGGCUAAAACACAGAAGGCAAUAUAAGAUGAUCAUGAUUAUCCACCAACUUUUCAAUACUGUACAGUGUCAGCUGUCACUGAAUCACAGAAAUGACAGGAUGACGUUCUUGCUCUUAGACAGUAGUGUAAUCUGCAUUUUAGAUUUACUAUUUGAAAGUAAAUUUAUUUGAUGAUAAAUAUUCUCAAUAGAAACAAAACAUAUUAAUGACAGAAUACUUAAAGACUUUUGUUAUUAUAUUUAGCUAUUACAUUUAGUUACUGGUAGUUAUACACCCAUAAACAUAAAUGCUCAAUAUGUUUUAAAUGAGUUUUGUAGUACAACUUGUUUUUCUAAUGUUUUGAGAUUUUUUUUCCUCUGGCACCUGUACUUUAAAUCAUGAUGUAGAAUGUUUAAAUUUAAAUUUACAAAGCAUUUCCUGUGAAUAUUUAUUAUAAGCUUUAUAUUUGAGAAGACUUUACAGUUCAUCCAAAAAAUGUAAGCCAAAGAGAUAUGAUGACAUUUUAAGUUUCUUGAAAUAUGUUUAGUAUGAUUGAGUUUGCUGAGUAUAGCUUGAUGGUAGAACCAGUAUGCCCCUAAUAUUUGUAUUGUUGUCCCAAAUUACAAAUAUGUGACCAGCUAAAUCUUUUGCAUUCUGAAUUCUGUUAUAGUCUGGUUAAUAAUGAGAGCUAAAUAAGACAAAGAGAUCUCUAAAAAUCAAUGAAAAGUAUUAUACCAUGUAUACAAGUGUAAACACAUUUUCAUUUGCUGUGUUUGUGGAAAUGCACUUUGAGGUUUAGUAACAAUCCACAGUAUCUGAAAAUUUAUUCACAUGUUACCUAUAGCUGGAACUAAAAGUUUCAAAAGCUAAGAAUAAACUAUGAAUUUUAAAAUACUGAAAUGAUUUUAAAUAAGUUUUCUUAUACAUUUUAUUAGCUUCAAAACAAUACUGAAUCUCAAUUAAAUUUCAAACUAGAAAAAAAUUUAUAUUGCUGUAGUCUAUUUACUCAUACUAUGUUUCUGGUUAAACUACAGUUUAUAUCAUAGUACACUUGUUCCCCUGGUGACUCAGACAGUAAAGAAUCUGCCUGCAGAGCAGGAGACCUGGGUUCGAUCCCUGAGUCAGGAAGAUCCCCUGGAGAAGGGAAUGGCUACCCACUCUAAUAUUCUUGCCUGGAGAAUUCCUUGGACAGAGGAGCCUGGCAGGCUAUGGUCCAUGGGGUUGCAAACAGACACGACUGAAGCGGCUUUGCACAGCACACAUCACACUUUUUUCAAGUUGACAGUUGUGUUACAAUAGUAGCAUAAUUGCAUACUUUGAAAUUAGUGUCUGUUUUUUAAACUUCAAAUGUCUUAAGAGACACUGUUUCUAAAAAUUUCUUUUUGUAACAUUGAUAUAAUUUAACUGGAAAACUGAUAUUUGUUGUAACUUAAAGAAAUUUAUAUCCAAAACACAAGUAGAAAUUGUUUGAGGUCUAUUUUUAUCUCAGUGAGCAAAUGUGGCCAAUUUUAAGAAUUGCUUCAAAAAGGCCCAAGAUAAACUAUAGUUAGUUAUUUAAGAUUGUUUCCACAUAUCUGGCAAAUAUUCCAUUCAUUUUUUGGACCUCUAGAAGAAUGAAUGGAUGAGUGAGUGUCAUGCCUAAUAUUCUAUCAGAAGCAUACAUGCAAAAAUAUCUUUGAUAAUAACAACAUUUUAGGGUAAAACAACAAAUAUUCUAGGAAAUUUUAUGCAUAAAUGCUAGGGAAUUACAUUUAAGAAUGGUUAUUUUAUGGGUCGAGUUUCAUGCACAGUUUGUUUCCAUAAACAUUUUUUAAAAUAUGCUUUCACUGUUUACAAAGACAAAGCAAAUUAGAAUUGAGGCAGUUAUAUGGAAAAAUUCUGAAUCACCUGCUUUCCUCAAUUAUAUGAUACUUAAUGGAAGAGAGUACAUCAUAUGGUAGAAAAAAUCUUUGCAAUAAAGGCUAGAAAAUCUUAUUUUGAGUACAGGUUCUGUUGUGAAUUGUGACUAGCCACAGGGCUUGGCUGGCACUCAGUGUCUCAUUUACAACAAGGAAGCCUGGAUUUACAUUCUCUCAAGGCCUUCCUACCUCUUAGGAAUUCCAUUUCCAAAAUAACCUUUUUGUUUUGGCCUGAGUUCUACUCUUUAUUUUAAUGUGUAGAUCGUGAGAAAAUUGAUACCACAACUAAGAAAGCAGCUUUUAAAAAAUACAGGAGUCUUCCAAAGGUAUUCACCAAUGUGUUUUACCUUGAUAUGAAACAAGAAUUGGUCUUCAAGCUUUUACAUUCUUAAAACAAGCACAUGGAAAUAUUUUUGUCACUUCUUUACCCUUUGAUUUUUAUUUUAAGUUUUAGUAGGAAAGAAAAGCACCACCAAAAUGACUUACCAAUUCAUCUUAAUGUGUUUUUGUGGGAAUGCAUGCAUGUGUAUGUCUCCAUAUAUACGUGAGGCUCUCAAACCCUGGACACAUCUUAGAAAUAUUUCAACUUAAGAACAAGUCACAGACAACUCUUUUCAAAGUCAGUGUAUAUGAUAAUUGUAGGUAAAGAAUAAAACACUGGACCUUUUAAAAUGUUUAUCCUGUGUGUAAAUGUUUAUGCUAUUAAAUUUAAUUACAAUUUUUAGAGGAAAGGGGAAGUUACUACUUUUCAUUCUGUGAAAAAGAAAAGAACUAAUACUUGUCUGGAUAUUUAAUCCUAAAAUAGCAUAGCAAAGUACCUUUUAAAAUACCUAGUCCAGUGCCUGGCACGUGGACUGGCUUAAAAAUAUUUAUUAAUUUAGUGAAAGCCACUAUAUUCUUUCAGGACAUAUUAAGGCAGAAUUUUACAUUUUUCUGUAAUUAAUGUCAUUUUCAAAACUAGCUGUUGAACUGCAUGUAUUUAAAUUUAAUUUACUGUUAAUGUAAACUCUAAUUCUCAAAUUUGUUUAAUAGUAAUUUAUUCUAUUUUAAAUUGUUUAAAUUCAAGUAUAGUUGAUUUACAACAUUGUGUUAAUAGUGCUCUUUUGUUCUUUGCAAAGAUAAAAAUUCAUUUUCUCUGAUUCUCAGGUGUAACCCCUAAAUAAUUAAAAAAUCUAUGAGAACAUUUAACUUGGUAUUCUUUUUAGAACUGCAAAUAACUAUUUAAUCUAGACUCAUUUAAGUUCAUGUGAAUUUUGAUGCAGAAAAUGUUAAUAUAUUUUAUGUAAUAUUAGAUCUAUAAAUACCUAAAAAAAAUCUUAAAAAAUUUAAACAAAUAAUAUAUGGGAACUCACUUUUUUCAAUAUAAUAAUUAUUGUGAUAGAUAUGUUUAUUUAAGGUCAGGAUCUGUGUAAUGUAUUUUUUUCAUUAUUUACUAGCAAAGAAAAUUUAGACCACAAGCAAACUUUAUACUUUUAUUUGAAAGGUGUGACUCUCCUGGAUGGUCCACGUAUAAUAAAUAUAAAAUCACAAAAGGAUACACCCAUCCUCUUAAAAUUAAAAUAUGACUUGUCAGCUAUUGUUUUAACUAGAUAACUUACAUAAUGUUUCAUUCACAGUUUAAUGAUCGGCAUGACACAUCAUGUCCAUUUAAAACUUUGAGAAUAGGUUUAAUAAAAGUUCUAUAAAGCUUUCAAAAGCAGUGAUUUCUGGUGAUAAGAGUGUGAAGUUCAGAAGCCAUAUAUUUUACACUUCAAUUAAAAUUUCUCAUAUUCCUCUCUUUUGCUGGAUGUGGUUGUCCAAAGUAGCUCUGUGAUUGUUUAAUAUUGUAUAUUAGAACAGUGUCAAAAUAUGAGGACUCUUGACCCCAAACAAACAGAUUUUCAUUAGUUGUGGCUGCUACAUUAAGAAUCUUUGUUGAUGUUAAAUUUUUUAGACAGUUUAACAUUUAGAUCCAGUGAUUUGUGCAGAUAGCAAUUGGAUUUGACAAGAGACACGGGACAGUGAUAGCAAGUAACCAUAUUAAGAAUGUGGACUGUGGAGAAGAUUGUGCCGUUCUGGGUGAUGUGUUAAAGAAACAAUAAUAAACUUAUUUGUGGCUGUUUAUUGGCAGAUCUAAUAGCUAGUACCAAUACACAUUGAACAAAUACCAAUUUUUAGGAAACUUUACAAGAAAUCUUGUUUAUAUAGUGUCUUUUUCCCAAUAUAUGGGAAGUUGACAAUACUGAUUUUAUGUAGUGUAGUAUAUUAUAGGAUUUCUUUCCUAGUACUCAAAAGUUCUUGCUUUUAUUUCAAUAGAAAAUCAUGCUCUAGUUUGGAACUGGUAUAGAAUCAAUUAAAAUAGAAAUAGUGUCUGAGUAGAAUGGUCCUAACUUAUAGGUAGAAAACUGAGAAAGGCAUGAAAUCUGGAUGUUUCAGAGGUCAAAAGAAAGAGCAUCAAUCUGGAAAGACAGACUUGUGGACAAUUAAGCCUAAGGGGAACAUGGCUUUAAAAUGCCUUUUUAAUCCAGUUUUCUAUUGGAAAAGGCAUAUUAUAUUUGAAUUCCUGCUUUAGAAAUAAAGUUACCUAAGGGGAUUUGUUUAAAACUGUAUUAGCAGUGUUUGUCAAUAUAAAAUACAGACACUGGUGUCUAAGAGUCUGGCUUUUCCUCUUUACUGCAGUUUAGCUAUUAGGGAGGAGGACUGUUUGUUAAUUAAUGAUGGUAAAGUUAUAGAAGAUUGACACACUUGUUAUUGUCUGGUUUGGCUCUUAGUGUCCAAAGACGUUCCCAUUUGAUCAUUGGUUUUCUCUUGAUGUAAUUAUUUUCCAGUACAUAUCCAUACAGAAUACAAAAUUUUAUGAGUCUUGGAUAAGCUUACAGUAAAUUCUUAACGAUAUAUAGGUGUCAUGAUAAUCUUCUAUUUCAGAUCCAUUAUUUGGUGUAUGGUCAUAAUUCCACAUUUUAUACAUGAAAUCCUUACAACAUAGAGAAUCUAAGUAAAUUCCCCAUAGACACCCAGAUAAUAUUUAGAACCCAUUUUCUAAGUCCUCAGGAUAUUUUCUUUCUAACACAUCCAGUAAAACUUUCAUAUUUCAAUUUUGCUUAUAAUUUUACUCUUCCUGGUAUCUGACAAUACUUAUAUUAUUCUUAUCAUAUGAAUUCAAUGAUUCAUGUGAUUUAAAAUUUUUCAAGCUCAAAUAUUGUAAAUAUAGACAUGAAUGUGAAAAUAAAUCCUAAAGGUCUGUAGUGUACUUAUACAUAGAUUUUUCUAAAAAAUUAGGAAGAUUUUAUAGGCCAAAUUAAUGUUAAUGCAGAGACAAACAUAAAUCAUAAUUAAAGUAAUAGCUUGAGCUUUUGCCCAAGUUGCAGAGUUUCAGUAAAACAAGGAAAAAUUUAAUCUCAAUUAAGUCAGGUCAAUUUAAUAAGCUCCCAGAUGAAAAUAUUGGCUAAAAGAUUGGAAUGACAAAUAUUUGUCACAUAGUACAUUCAAUGGAAAAUUUUAAAUAAGAUUAGUAAAUAUUACUGAGUGAGUGAUUUUCACACACCAAAGAACAGAAAUCAAAUCACAUCUUUAGUAUAUUUAAUACAAAUUAAAAUUGUAUUUACUUUCUUUUAUUUCAGCUUUUAAGUAUUCAAAGCUAUCUUGAAUAAAGAAAGACAGAAUGACUCUUGAAUUAGAAUAAAGUCAAAGUCAAAGUCUCGAGUUUACUAAACCCUUGUCCACUGCUGUUAUGCUUUUUAUGAAAAUUGUGUGUAAUACUAGCCAUUUAGGACCCCGAGAGGGUGAUUUCUCACCGUGUAGUCACCCAGCUUAUCAGUCAAGGAAAUAUACUUCUUACACUUGAAGGAUGACUGCUCCCAAAUCAGACCUCACACACAGCACUGAGAGUUCACUUGAAAAAUGGUAUAAGUAACUAUUACGGUCUUACAGUUUACCCUUACAGAAACAUAUCUGUUGACCAUUAUGUCCUGAUCAGAAGGUUUUCCUUUUUCAUUAACCAUAAACAGUAACUGUAAAUAAUUGUGCUCAUUAUUUUCCUCAAUUUUUAAAAAACAAAAUGUAGAAAUAACUCUAAGAAAAUAAAGAGUUGAAACAUGGAGGAAGGAAAGUUAAAGAGGGAGAGUGGGAGAAGGAGGAGAGGAAGGGAGAAGAGGGAGGAGGGGAAAGAGAAAAAGAGAGCGAGAUUUUCUUCUGAUCUAUUUUGGUGCGUAAUUCAAGGUAAUAAAUAGAGUGGCAAAAUUGACUCUGAGAAACCACACCGAAAAUAAUCAGCAUUUUGUCCAAGGAAAGAUGUCUUAUAGAUUCACAUAAUUUGGUCAAGAACAGAAGGCUUUAAAAUUUGUAAAGGAUAGAUUUUAAUCCUCAAAGUAGCUAAUUAAGCUUCCUCUGUACAACAUACAGUUUUAAGUUAACAGUAAUUAAUAUAGCCAGCUUGGAACCUAAGGAAGCUAAAGCCAGCAAGUGCUUUUUGGUUCACUCGAGAGGAUGCAGUUUGAUUGCUGGCGCCAGUAAACAGGUUGGGAAUUGUCAACAUUGUAAUUAGCAGCAAGUUUCUGGAUUCUCAGCCUGCCAGACUAGUGGGCUGAUGCUUGGAGCAGUUGCCCCAGGGGGGAGAGGGAAAAACAAAGGAAGGGAAUUUGAGCAACCUUGCAAUGCUCUGCCAGCAUAUGCCACUGGACCAAUGUUUUUCUUGGCAAAGGUCUAUUUUAAGACAUCUAGCAGUGGUUUCCACAAAAUAUGAAACUCACCAUAGCAACCAAAAUGGCAAGUAUCUCUAGGAACAUUUCCUUGAUUGGAUAUCAGGUCAAAAUUGUUUUCAGAGCUACAUUGCCUAAUGCACAGUAUAGGCUAUGCUCUGCAAAAUGUGGUUAUUAGCAGUAUGAUUAAAAGGGUUAAAAUCUGUUUUGGCAGCAAUCCUGUAAUACUCUGAUGUAAAGCAGUCAAAGAAUAAACUUAUGCAAACCUUAUUAACCCUUCAUGUAGUACAAACAGAAGGAAAUGUCAACCUUAAUACCACCAAGAAUUCAAUCUUCAGUACGAAAAUGAUAAUUUAAAUGUAGUUUUCUUAGUUCAUAGCCACAGGGUUGUUGUGGAGAAAGGUUGUCAGAGAUUUAAAUAUCCAAACAAGGGCUGUUUGCAAGGGCUCUGAGACUAAAAGCUACAUUAAUAAAAUUUAUGGGUAAUUUAUAACCCAAAUGAACAAAGAUUAGACUAGCUUUUAGAACCUACUUGAUAAAAGUUUGUGUGUGUGUGUAAAAUUUCACUAAUCAUACAGCAGAAUAGGAUUUGAAAAGUGAAACUGAAAGUCACUCAGUCGUGUCCGACUCUUUGCGACACCAUGGACUAUACAGUCCAUGAAAUUCUCCAGGCCAGAAUGCUGGAGUAGGUAGCUGUUCCCUUCUCCAGGGGAUCUUCCCAAACCAGGGAUCAAACCCAGGUCUCCCACAUUGGAGGCAGAUUCUUUACCAGCUGAGCCACCGGGGAAGCCCAUACAAGUAACAUACAUAUUCUGAGUAGCCACAGAAUAAGUAAUAAAGCUAUCUACCUACCUAUCUUGUGACAAAAGCAUAAUAACAAACACUUUUACUUUUUCUUUAAAGCAACUCUGCAGUGUAUUAAUUUUACCUUCCAGUUGAAAAAGGUCAAGGUUGCUGAGCAUUGCUAAAAUAUACUUUUUAAUUUCACCCAAAACAAUGCUUGGAAUCAUUUCAGGGAUAUUUUCAUUGUCACUUUCUACCUUUGCCAAAAUAGGAGGAGACUUCAGAGAGGUAAACAGGAUAUAGAGAAACAACAAAAUAGCUUUCUAUACUGUAAAAAAAGAAGUCUCAAAUGGAUCGAUGUGCUAUAUUAAGCAAUUGCCAUGUGGCAGUUUCUGCAGGUGGAUUAUCAAAAGGGCCCAAGGAAUGGCUGUGUCUAUCUGGCACCCAGGUGUCUGGCGUUACAUUUAACAGAUCUUUUGUAGAGAGAAGGAUUACUCAUAUUUGUUGGAGAGAGUACAAUUCUCUAAUCCUCCAAGACAGAAUCCGUAUUGGAGUCAACCAGCAACGCAGUUCUUAGCCACUUUCCUCUAGACUCACAGAAAUUUUUCACAAUUAUUUAUUAUUUUCAGUGGAAUUAGAUGCCUACAGGUGGCCCCGUCUUAUACCUCCUGGCAGAGAACCUGCUAUAAAUUUUUAAGUUACUUUAACUUAGCAGUGUGUUGUCUUACAGCAACAGUUCGUUCAGUUUGUGAGGAAAGGGAGAAAGAAGCAGAGUCUGUCGUGUUAAGCAACAUUACAGUCCUUUCCCCGCUUCGAAGGUGGUAGAGGGAGUUUCCCAGAAGCAGCCCUGGCGUGUGCGCGGGGGCCCGUGUCUCCUCAGAGAGUCAGAGGGAGUGUCGCAGCCAGCAGGCCUCAGUACUGUGUCCGGGGACUGGUGUGUUGAGUGUCAGUUUUAAAAAAUAGAAGCAGAACAGUAGGACUUUUCCUUUUAUUUCUUUUAUUUCUUUCUUCCUUUAAAGAGAGAAAAAGCCUUAAAAUGACCUCUGUUAUGAAAGUGUUUUGUCUUCAGUGGUUUCUCAUAAUGUGUUAGAAAAAAUUAGCUCAACCUUAUUCAGGCAUUUGGGUUUAUCAGAUGUUAUUACAAUUUCUCCCCUACCACCCAUCCUAUACACUAUAAUUGUUUUUCCUGGGCUUUUUGGUUACUAGUCAGCGAGAGGAGAACAGAACUCCUUCAUAACUCUCUAGUCUUUGGGUUUCAUGCUCAUCUUUUCUUCACAAUGAUGUAAUUGUCAUUCGGUGUAUUCAGUUAAAUCCCCUUGCAUAUGUUGGGGUACAAUUCUCAGAACUGAUGAAAAAACAAAGAUAAUAUCUGUGUUACAAUAAUUACACUUUAAAAGCAAAAAUUAUAUUAACAUUUCAGGGGAUAUAUACAGGUCUAUUUAAGCCUCAGAAGUCCUAAUUCUAGGUUAUAAAACUCUUUUUCACAGCCACAAAAUCUGGUUUCCACCAUUCUAGUCUCAUUAAAACUGUAGCUUAUACCACUAGCAGGCUUCCCAGGUGGCGCAAUGGUAAAGAAUCCACUUGCCAAUGCAAGAGAUGUAAGGGUUUGAUCCCUGGCUAAGAAGUUCCCAAGGAGUAGGAAAUGGCAGCCUGCUCCAGUAUUCUUGCCUGCAAAAUCCCAUGGACAGAUGAGCCUGGCAGUCCAGAGGGCUGCAAAGAGUCAGACACGAUUGAGCACAUGUACACAGGUACUACAAGUAACAAUGAUAAUAUGUUUAUUUUGGAUAUAUUUAUUUUGCUUGUCCAGAGUCAUAGAUGCAGUGUUAAAAUGAGAACUUUUUAAAUGUAGAAACAGGUUUUAUUGUAAUGCUGAUAGCGUAGACAUGGGCAAAAUUAGUAACUGAAAGCUAAUUUGACAUUUAUUAAGUCAUCUGCCUUAAUGCAAGGAUAUUUAAACCAUCCCACGAUUCAUUUUACAACUUCUGACAAACACACUGAGAUGAAGCAGCUUGUAUAGUCAAAAGAGUAGGAUGCCUGUCCAAAUAAAUUGGUAAAUAAUCUAUCUUGCAUGUACUUCAUGAGUCUUCAGGUCUAUCAGCAUUUAUUAAGCAUCUACUUAUUACCUGGCAUUCUUCUAAAUGCUGAAGUUACGUUGUCCUUAAAUCAAUCAUUUCUUAUGGAACAUCUCACAGUUCAGGGUCUUAAGGUCCCUGUGGGGAUUCAAAAGAAAGUAAAGUAAUAUCUUACUUUUCAAGAAGUUAAAAGAUUGUGGUUGACAUAAUGAAUAUUACAUUGUGCAAAGGUGAAUGUUGCACUAAGUCGUUACCAUUGUAUCUAUUCACCAGAAGACACUUACCCAUCACAGAUACUAAUAUAAUAAUAAUCAUCAUCCUUUCUAAAAGGAUUUUAUUCCCUUAGCUUAUAGACUACUUUUUAGAACCAAAGAGACCAAGGAAGCACCUGAUAAGAAAAAAAUUAAGUACACAUUUUUUAACCUCAAAGCAAUAGUUACUCUAUUACCAUUUCUAAGUUAUGAUAAUACCAUUUAUAACUACAUAACUAUAUUGUCCUAGGAAAAAUUGUUAGUGUAUCUAUGAUUAUCAGAAAAUUUAUUUUAGUAACUAUUAGAAUAAUAUUGAAUACAAGCAAUUCCCAAAUCCAUUAAUAAUCUUAAGCUUCACAGUCAAUAAAUGUCUUUUGAGACUGUGAUGAUAGGCUUUCUCAAAGAAGGUGCUAAAAGUGCUCUGCUGCGUUCAGAUCAGUGGUUCUCAAAAUGUGGUCUCUUGGUAGGUAAUCUCAGCAUCACUUGGGAACUUGUUAGAAGCACAGAUUCCCAGAUGGCAUCACAGGCCCACUGAAUCCAAAAAUCUGGAGGUGAGGGCGUGCUAGUCUCUGUUUCAACAAGCAUGAUUCUGAUGCCUGCUAGAGCUUGAGAACUACUGCUUCCUAUCCCUUAAAAAUAAUUCACAAUUGAAGUCAGGUUCUAUGCAACACUGACUCAAAUAAUUUAGGCUGUGUUUUAGAUUUAUAGUAAUGAUUUAAUAUUAAUUACUGAUUGUAGCAGAUAUUUAAAUUCAAAAUGCAGACUUCACCCCACUGGAAAAUUCUGUAACAUUUGGGAAAUAUUUUAGGUUUCCAAAUAUUCCACUUUAUUUGGAGAUCCAUUUAUAUAGAGCAUACAUAGUACUCGUAUUAGUACUAUAUAAUUCUCUUAAUAGUACUCUUAUUGCUAAUAGAUUUAUAAUUAUGAUAAUACAUAUUGAAUCGAGUUUCCCCAAAAUUUAAACCUUUCUUUUGAUAUGUUAUUAGCAUUGUAGUAAUUCCAGUAGCUGCCUAAAUUUUCUGCUGGUAUUAAAUUGUGUCCCAGUCCCGAAGCAAGGAGAAUCAGCUUCAUUUUGUAAAAGACAUAAAGCACCAAAUAAGACCUUUAAAUGCUGUUUGUGUGUGUUAUUGUCCCAUGGAUCAUUGCUAACAUUUUCUCAUUCACCAAUGACACAAAGAAUUUUCAUGUAAGUGAACUGCCUGAUCAAAUUCUUUGAGCAUUCACAAAACGUUCCAGUAAGUAAUAA